AUUGAACGCUGGCGGCAGGCCUAACACAUGCAAGUCGAACGAGUGGCGGACGGGUGAGUAAUGUCUGGGAAACUGCCUGAUGGAGGGGGAUAACUACUGUAAACGUUAGCUAAUACCGCAUACCAUCGGAUGUGCCCAGAUGGGAUUAGCUAGUAGGUGGGGUAAAGGCUCACCUAGGCGACGAUCCCUAGCUGGUCUGAGAGGAUGACCAGCGAAACUGGAAAUGAGACAAGGUCCAGACUCAUACGGGAGGCAGCAGUGAGGAAUAUUGCACAAUGGGCGCAAGCCUGAUGCAGCGAUGGCGCGUGUAUGAAGAAGGCCAUAGGUUAGUAAAGUACUUUCAGCGGGGAGGCGUUACCCGCAGAAGAAGAACCGGCUGACUCCGUGCCAGCAGCCGCGGUAAUAC
rnacentral:rRNA from 1 species